rnacentral:rRNA from 1 species
AGAUUAGCCAUGCAUGUGUAAGUAUAAGCGAUUUAUACGGUGAAACUGCGAACGGCUCAAUAUAUCAGUUAUAGUUUCUUUGGUAUUUAUUUUGCUAAAUGGACAAUUGUAGUAAUUCUAGAGCUAAUACAUGCGUAAACGCCCGACUUACGGAGGGCGGUAUUUAUUAGAUAUAAGCCAACAUUUUUUGGUGAUUCAUAAUAACUAAGCGGACCGUAGUGCUUUAUUGCGACGGUGAAUCAUUCAAGUUUCUGCCCCAUCAGUUGUGGAUGAUAAGGUAUUGGCUUAUCAUGACGUUUACGGGUGACGGAGAAUUAGGGUUCGAUUCCGGAGAGGGAGCCUGAGAGACGGCUACCACAUCUAAGGAAGGCAGCAGGCGCGAAAAUUAUCCAAUUCCGACUCGGAGAGAUAGUGACGAAGUAUAAGCUUGUGGAGCCCUUCGGGUUUCACUUAGCGAAUGAGAACAGUGUAAAACAUUUAACGAGGAUCAAUUGGAGGGCAAGUCUGGUGCCAGCAGCCGCGGUAAUUCCAGCUCCAAUAGCGUAUAUUAAAGUUGUUGCAGUUAAAAAGCUCGUAGUUGAACUUCUGGUAGGAGGGGCCCAGGCUUAGGAUGAAUGUCCUUGUGCUUUGUGUGUCCUUCUGGCCAUCCUUCUCUUUUUCGGAAGAGAUCGUUUACUGUAAAAAAAUUAGAGUGUUUCAAGCAAAAAGUAUUUUGGAAUAUAUUAGUAUGGAAUAAUAAGAUAGGACUUUGGUGCUAUUUUGUUGGUUUGCACAUCAAGUUAAUGAUUAAUAGGGACAGAUGGGGGUAUUCGUAUUUAAUUGUCAGAGGUGAAAUUCUUGGAUU